rnacentral:rRNA from 1 species
UACGAGGGGGGCAAGCGUUGUUCGGAAUUACUGGGCGUAAAGCGUGCGUAGGCGGUUUGUUAAGUCUGUUGUGAAAUCCCCGGGCUCAACCUGGGAAUGGCAAUGGAUACUGGCAAGCUAGAGUGUGUCAGAGGAUGGUGGAAUUCCCGGUGUAGCGGUGAAAUGCGUAGAGAUCGGGAGGAACAUCAGUGGCGAAGGCGGCCAUCUGGGACAACACUGACGCUGAGGCACGAAAGCGUGGGGAGCAAACAGG